CACGGCCGGACGGUAGAGGCCUCCCUUCCGAGGAUGCGAUACGGGCGCAACCCGCUGGGGCUCCGCUCCCCGGCGCGAGCCUGCGUGUCCUUCCCAGCGAGGUCCCUGCGCGGCCCGGCCCAGUGUGACUAUUCCCCACCCGCCUUCCUCCUGCAGGCGGCAGCGCCCGUUCAUUAGAGGUGUAGAGGUAAUUGAGCACCAGAGAGAUGAUGUGACUUCAGGAAGAUAACAUGGCUGGUCAGCUGUCUCCAGUCCUGAGGUCACCGCCCAUCAACAAGGGAUAAUCCCAAGGACAGCAGGAUCUGCUUCAUCACUUGGAUUUAGGAGCGAGAAACUCAUCGGGCAACUAAACAGAAACAAUGACCCACCAUUAAACACACCGAGAGAAGAGUGCAAUGAGGAGUUUGUACAAGAAGAAUCCAGGAGCUCUUGCUGACAGUGCCUAUGGAGACGUGACCACUGUGAGCUCUGCCCGUUGAACUGCAGUAAAAUCUCUUCCCCUCCACGGCGAUGCUUGGAUGUGGCCACAGUUCAGACCAUGGCCUAAUCAUGGACUUAACAGAGCGAAAAGAAUUUGGACUGUGGGGGCCACAUAGACCUGGGUUGGAAUUGUUAUUCUGUCAUUUCUCUGUAGUAUGCUCUGGCAACAUUUUAAAGCCUCUGAGCCUCUGUUUUCUUGUUUGCAAAAUGGAGCUAAUGCCUACUCAUAGGCGUUUAAAAGGAUCAAAUGCAACAGGGUUAGGAAAGCACAAGCUAGGUACUUCUCUUUAUUGAAGAAGAGCAAGAUGGGUGGCCAAAACAGGAACCAGUACAACGAAAACUAUUCUCCCACAGCUGGGCACUGAGCCUCAGAAUGUGUUGCUUGUUUCUCUAACUUACAUACUAGGGGAAAAAGAGCGAGCAAGAAAUGGGGGAAGACAGGAUGUCAGGUUCUGGCUCUUACACAAGAAAAUUCACUCUAAAUAAUUUUCAGACACUGUUGCUCUCCUCCCUCAAGCACCAGGGCCACGUGGCAUUAUGCCAAAGAAGUCAGCAGCCUGGCAGAUAUUUUUAAAGCACAAACGACAGGCUAUUUGUGCCAUAUGCCACUGAUACGUUGAUCUAGGCAAGGAUGGUAGGCACCUGGGGACAUCUGUGCUGAAAUGCCACUUAGGCAGGGCAACCAACUCCAGUGGCAGAAGUUCAUCAGCGCAAACAGUGAGGGUGGCCAAGAAGAUAGGAGUGGAAAGCAGGAGUGAAAGGGAGGGGCAGCGCCUAAGCCUUGAAAGGUUUUUCUUGGUGUGCUUCUAAGAGAGCUCCAGAUUCAACAAAACAUCAAAACUAGAUAUUCAGAGGCGAGGCAAACGAGGGUCUGUGACUUCUGCACGCAUGGCAUUCUGUGGCCACCUCCCCCAUGACUCUUCUGUCCUUUGUCAAAGCCUGGGAGAUGCUCCAGGCCACCAAACUGCCCUCCGUUAUCCCUGCAGUUUCACGGGAAAAAGCCAGUGGCUGCUGGGCAACUAGACUACAUGCCCCAGUGUCAGACUUUCCAACAUCCAAUCUGGUGGGAGCACUCGGGGCCUUUUGUCUCCCUCUCCCUUUGGCCCAGCCCUGUUUCUUAGUUACUAUGAGUAGUAAUGAGCUUCUCCACCCCAGCAUGAGGACAGGAUCACAGCCAGCACAGGAAAAAGGCUGAUCUCCGAUGGGGCAACUUCUCUAUUUCAUGGGCAGAUCACACAUCUCUUUUUAAGAAAGAUUUUUAUUAAAAAUAUCGUUAGCAUACAAUAUUGUAUUAGUUUCAGGUGUACACAAUAGUCAUUCAACAUUUGUAUACCCAAAGAAGUGAUCACUGGGGCAGCUGGAUGACUC